UGGGGGAUAUUGCACAAUGGGCGAAAGCCUGAUGCAGCGACGCCGCGUGGGGGAUGAAGGCCUUCGGGUUGUAAACUUCUUUUGCUCUGAACAAGGCAUGCCAAUGGGUGUGUUGAGUGUAGGGGUUGAUUAGCGCCGGCUAACUACGUGCCAGCAGCCGCGGUAAUACGUAGGGCGCGAGCGUUGUCCGGAAUUAUUGGGCGUAAAGGGCUUGUAGGUGGCUGGUUGCGUCUGUCGUGAAAGCUCAUGGCUUAACUGUGGGUUUGCGGUGGGUACGGGCUGGCUUGAGUGCAGUAGGGGAGGCUGGAAUUCCUGGUGUAGCGGUGGAAUGCGCAGAUAUCAGGAGGAAUACCGGUGGCGAAGGCGGGUCUCUGGGCUGUUACUGACACUGAGGAGCGAAAGCGUGGGGAGCGAACAGG
rnacentral:rRNA from 1 species